CCUACGGGUGGCAGCAGUAGGGAAUCUUUCACAAUGGGCGAAAGCCUGAUGGAGCAACGCCGCGUGCAGGAUGAAGGCCUUCGGGUUGUAAACUGCUUUUAUAAGCGAGAAAUAUGAUGGUAACUUAUGAAUAAGGAUCGGCUAACUACGUGCCAGCAGCCGCGGUCAUACGUAGGGAGCGAGCGUUGUCCGGAAUUACUGGGUGUAAAGGGAGCGUAGGCGGGACUGCAAGUUGGGUGUCAAAUCUACCGGCUCAACCGGUAGCCGCACUCAAAACUGCAGUUCUUGAGUGAAGUAGAGGCAGGCGGAAUUCCUAGUGUAGCGGUGAAAUGCGUAGAUAUUAGGAGGAACACCAGUGGCGAAGGCGGCCUGCUGGGCUUUUACUGACGCUGAGGCUCGAAAGUGUGGGGAGCAAACAGGAUUAGAUACCCCGGUAGUC
rnacentral:rRNA from 1 species